rnacentral:rRNA from 1 species
CCUACGGGAGGCAGCAGUGAGGAAUAUUGGUCAAUGGCCGCAGGGCUGAACCAGCCAAGUCGCGUGAGGGAUGACGGUCCUAUGGAUUGUAAACCUCUUUUGUCAGGGAGCAAAGGGCGCCACGUGUGGCGCUUUGCGAGUACCUGAAGAAAAAGCAUCGGCUAACUCCGUGCCAGCAGCCGCGGUAAUACGGAGGAUGCGAGCGUUAUCCGGAUUUAUUGGGUUUAAUGGGUGCGCAGGCGGAAUGUCAAGUCAGCGGUAAAAUUUCGGGGCUCAACCCCGUCGUGCCGUUGAAACUGGCGUUCUUGAGUGAGCGAGAAGUAUGCGGAAUGCGUGGUGUAGCGGUGAAAUGCAUAGAUAUCACGAAGAACUCCGAUUGCGAAGGCAGCAUACCGGCGCUCAACUGACGCUCAUGCACGAAAGCGUGGGUAUCGAACAGGAUUAGAUACCCCAGUAGUC